UUAUCAACCCGUUCUCAUCAGUCUGCGUAUAAAUAACACGACUUUACACUUUCUAUUUGCGUGUAAUGCAUACGCCAAAUGCCAUUUUUGCGUGCAUAUGAUACGCCAAUCCUUCCCAUUAAUUUCGGUGGAGAGCAGAUGCGUCCAAAUAACACGCAUCAUCUUCAGCGGCAGUGACGUCACCAGCGAGGCUCGUUCAGUUCACCUGAUGCGCGUACACCUUCAAACAGGUAAGCAAGGUUACGUCGGAUUACAUACUCCACAACAACCUGUAAUCCAGCAGAUCUUUAAAGAAGCCAUCUCUUGUAAAAUCUCUCUCUCUCUCUCUCUCUCUCGCUCUGCUAGAAUUAACAGGGAACUUCAACUCCACGCUCCCAAUGCUGAUACUGAAGAAGCUGUCAAGGGGGCUGAACAAGUCCUUCAAAGGAUCAACCCUUCACAGGAAGGCCUGUCAUGAGAUUUGAAUUUGACCAUCUUGUGCAUUUAUGAAGAAGACCAAAAGCUGCAAAGGCAAACACUUCCAAUGGCAGAAACUGAGAGUUUGCAUGAUGGCAUUUUCUCAGACGCUGAAUCUGAUGUGUACAGAUGAACUCAGGAGCCUACUAGAGUUGCCAAGGAACUUGUGCUUGAACUGAAGACCAGAAACGCAAAGAAAAUCAGUCAAACCAGUCCUAAAGAAAUGAGGAAUGAACAUGGACUUCUUGUGCCCCAAAAGAAAAGACAGAAAGCUCCUAAAAUGAGCAAAUAAGCUGUGCAUCAUCUCUGUGAUUUGGAAAGGAAAUGACUGAAUAUGAUGAAGCCAGUUGAUGAAGAUAUCAAUUGAAUGGCCACCGAGUGCAUCACUGCUACCUGAACCCAUCAGUUAUCUGCUGUGAAGACUGCAUUCACAAACCGCUCUACUGCGACAGCUCAGAUGUUACGGCCUGUAAAAGUAAACAUCACAGCUAAACAACGAGAGCUAGUUGUGGUGGGAUUCUUUUGGCCAAUAUCCCCAACAAGAAUCAAUGACAUCUAGACCAGGUGGAGUGUGAGGAGGACCGUCAGAGACUCCAGCCAGCCGAGCCAUGGAUUGCUCUCACUGUUACCAUCAGGCAUGCGUUAUCACAGAACCUACACCAGCAGACAGUGAGACAAGUUCCUUUCACAGGCAAUCAGACUGAACUGAACUCAUACCAGUAAAACCAUACACACCCCACCAACCUCAUAUGCCCUGCACUCUUAUCAGUUAUGCUGACUGGACUCAAUAUUAUUAUGCACCCUGACAUUCUGUUUGCACUAAUUCAUACCGUGCUUUACUGCAGAGAUGUAUGUGUACUGUGAUUAUUAUUGUUUUCAAUUCAUGCUCUCUGUAUAGCAUAAUUUUUAACAUAUAUUGUUCUCUACCUGAAUUGAGUCCCUUAUAUAUGUGUGUUGCAUAUAUAUAUUCAGAAUUUGUAUUACAUAUAUUCAUGAUUUUAAUUCAUUUGUCAUCCAUACUGUCACGCUGCAGUCUGCACCCAAGACUUUCAUCACCUGUAUACUUGUGUUCAUUGUAUUGUGACAAUAAAGAUAUUUGAUUUAAAUUAG